UACGUAGGGACCGAGCGUUGUCCGGAUUCAUUGGGCGUAAAGAGCUCGUAGGCGGUCUGUCGCGUCGGUCGUGAAAACUUGGGGCUUAACCCUGAGCUUGCGGUCGAUACGGGCAUGACUGGAGUUCGGUAGGGGAGACUGGAAUUCCUGGUGUAGCGGUGAAAUGCGUAGAUAUCGAGAGGAACACCUGCGGCGAAGGCGGGUUGCUGGGCUGAUACUGACGCUGAUGCGCGAAAGCUAGGGGAGCAAACGGG
rnacentral:rRNA from 1 species